CCUCCCCUUCUCUCCCCUCCCUUCCCCAUCACUGUUCUUUUCUUUGACUUUUUGUUUCUUUCCUUCCUUUCUUCUUUCUCUUUCUCCCCCUACUCCAUCUUCUUUCUUUCCUUUUUUUCCCUUUCCUCUUCUUUUUACUUCUUUAUUUACCUUUUAGAGACAGGGUCUCACUCUGUUUCCCAGUCUGGAGUAUAGUGACAUGAUCAUAGCUCACUGCAGCCUUGAACUCCUGGCUCAAGCAAUCCUCCUGCCUCGGCCUCCUGAGUAGCCAGGAAUACAGAUGUGCACUACCACCCCUGGCUCAUUUUUUUAUUCUUUGUAAAGACGGGGUCUCACUAUGUUGCCUAUACUAGUCUCAAACUCCUGGCCUCAAGGGAUCGCCCUGUCUUGGCCUCCCAAAGCGCUGGGAUUACACGUGUGAGCCACUGCACCAGGCCUUGUCUCUUUAUACAUUUGAGCACAGUUGCAGAUAUCUUGACAUUUUAUCUAAAUAUUUCCAGAUGUCUCUUCUAAGAUAGCAAUCAUUUUCUCACACAAGAACAAAACCAUGACCAUCCUCAAUGAAUUUAAUGUAGAUACAAGACUGGUCUCUCUACAGGGCCCAUGUCCAAAUGUUGCAAGUUGUCCUUGUCAUGUUCAUGUCCCUUUUUAUCCAGGACCCAGCCAAGGCCGCCUCCCUCCAUCGUGCCUCUGCCCAAGCUCCUCUCACGUGGCGCCGCCUCGGGGCCUGUCUUGUCUUUCAAACAUUCAGCCAUUUGUUUGGCAGAAGGUGCCUCCGUUUGGAUUUGACUGAUUGCUCUUCAGGAAAAGAUUCAGUUUUGUAUUAGUCUGUUUUCUGUUGCUGUCUCUGAAUAUCUGAAACUGGGUGAUUUGUAAAGAAAUGAAAUUUAUUUCUUACAGUUCUGGAGCUGGGAAGUGCAAGACUGAGGAGCUGCAUCUGAUGAAGGCCUUCCUGCUGGUGGGGCCUCUCUGCAGAGUCCUGAGGUGCUGCAGGGGAUCUCGUGCAGAGAUGUGGCUUCUACUCACCUCCAAUACAGCUGCUGGACCUCCAGCCAUUGGAGGAGAUACAGGUUGGAAGAAGGAGGUAAGGCAAAAUGGGUAUUUUUCUCAAUCAAGACAGGUCUCUCUAAAGCAGGUGUCCUGGAAACCCCACACAACAUU
rnacentral:lncRNA from 1 species